CAGCAGGGAGCACGUAAAAGCGGCUCAGGAAGAGAAAAGCCGCCGAAGACCAAAGAAAGGACAACGAAGAGCGAGGCAUUUAUUCAAGAUCGAAAAGCUCCCCAUUUUCCCAUAUUCUCGCCCGGCAUGGUUCUUCUUCAAUGUAGUUAGCUUCGAAGUACAAAUACUGGUGGGAACUUCUGUCCCUGAGAGUGACUUUCUCAUUUCAGUCGAAAAAUCGACCACACCACUGGUCACUGCUGCACGGCGCACCGUCGCCAUUUAUUACCAUUCACGAUCUAUCAAUCAUUUAUCACCACUGAACAGUCAUCACAAGCGGCAAGCAAGGAAGAAGCAGCAGCAGUUCCUUCUAGCAUAAAUGGCAUCAUAGAGUUUCGAUGAUCAAUAAGACCUUACAUCCAUUCUUCAAACAAAACCCAUUACUUAACGACAUUCGGAUCUGCCAUCUUUCGCCUUCAUACUCUCCCUUCACCCCAAGUUCAUAUGAUCAGAUUGGUUCUGCCGGCGAGAAAGAAGAAUGGGCCGAUACAAUAGCGAAUGUCAACACCAGCACGUAGAAGAUAUCAGUAAUAGUAGUACUCAUACAGAGGCUGUGCUGCUGGGUUCACAGACGAUGUACAGCCGCAUAAACCGGUCUUUCCUCGUCUUUCAUCAUUUGUCGAACGCUAUCCGAUACUUAAAUUUCGGAAACCUGGACUUGGUAGGCACACUAUUACACACCAUUGUUGCCACUGUACUUCAUCAGGUCGUGUUAUACCACCCGAAAUAACGGCCUUACCCGUGUCUCUAUUAUACCGUAAUAUCUAGUAUUUUUCAACUUGCGUAUCCUGCCCAUUGAGCGCACCUGGCAAUCGUUGCUGGCAGUUAUUAUGGGUCAAGAUUCACAAAUAACAAAUCAGAAUUCAAAAAAUCCUGUCGAUCUUCGAGAUUGGCGUGUUAGGUAGUAACGCCAACGUUACUACAGUCGGCCACGCUAUUUGCACGCUAUUCAUUCCUCCCUUCUCAUCAUUCAUCUGCCAACUACUCAUUAUUGCAGACUAGAAGCUAAUGCAUUACACAUAAUCCGUUGCUGUGCUUUCAAUCGCGGAAGGCAAAUAGACCCUCGCCUGAUUUUAGAGAUCAGAGAUCACAAAGAUGAAAGUGAUCAGAAGCCAACUAAUAAAUAAACGAGAAGACACAAGAUAUUUGAUGCCCUGUCUUUCCCCUACUGGUGGCUACAUCAAGAGUACCGUCCACCGAGUAAGCAUCCCGCCCAAGGACCAGCAGCAGUAUGAUCGUCUCGGUCUUCUUUAUUUUGCUCGUUCUCAAUUUUGUCCCUCGCCACUGAUGGUAUUAGAAUGAAGAAUAACAUCGAUCGCUGGCAGAUAGAGUUAGAUAUCCCAGUUGCAAAUUGCAAACAGGGUACCUAACAUUCUUUUUUUCUAAAUGCAUACUUGGACGAUGCCAAAUAUGAAACACGAACCAGUUAUCUGGUUGGGGGAGCUGGGAACAUUGCACGAUGCUGGGAAUAUUCUCUGCCUAGAGUUCUGAGUUUUAUGGGAAGAAAUACGUUAUGAUGGACCGAAAACCAGCAUUUCGGGCAUACUGUACGAUAUGACAGAGCGAGAAUCGUAUAUGUUAAUGACCACCUCAAUCAAUGAUAUAAUUAAUGAUCCAAGCAUGUUAUGUCAAUCUUGGAUGAAGAUGCUCGUCCCCCU
rnacentral:sRNA from 1 species